ACCCCGGUGGCUCAGUUGAAGAGCUGCCUACGGAUUAGGUGGAUGUCGUGGGUUCGAAUCUCACCCGGGGUU
rnacentral:tRNA from 1 species